rnacentral:tRNA from 1 species
GCCGCUCGCGCCCGACGGGACGGGCACCGGCCUUUUAAGCCGGACUGAAGGGGUUCGAGUCCUCUGGGCGGCA